UUUAAGUACAAAUUUGAGGUACUUGUACUUUAGUUGAGUAUUUCCAUUUUUUGCAACGUUAUAAUUCAGCUUCGCUACAUCUCAGACGCAAAUGUUGUACUUUUUACUCCACCACAUUUGUCUGACAGCUUUACUUUAGUUACUUUUCAGAUUACAAUUUGUCAUACCCUUCCUGUCCUGUGAAAAACCAUGCAUCUCCAAAUGUGCUGAUUUGGAAUGUUUGUGAUAAACUGAAGGAUGAAGUGUUCCUUCAUGUGUUGAGAAAAUUCUCCUCCUUCUUAAGCUCAAUCAACUAUUUAAAAACCC